rfam:Triticum aestivum genome assembly, contig: Triticum_aestivum_CS42_TGACv1_scaffold_226312_3B
AUAGUACUCCCUCCGUCCGGAAAUACUUGUAGGAAGAAUGGAUCACAAUAGAUGUAUCUAAAAUUAAAAUACAUCUAGAUACAUUCAUUUUUAUGACAAGUAUUUCCGGACGGAGGAGUAGUAG